CUACACUUCACUUCAUUUCCUUGUAUAAGUUCGAGAAUAGGGCUCGAACGUAUCUACUAAGCUACCGUAAAUAGCUAGGCUACAAGGGAUUUCGUUUAUCUA
rnacentral:ncRNA from 2 species